CCAAACACACAUUUGAGGUCACUAAGAAAACAUUCAGAUCAAAAUUUCACCUCUAUAGUCUACAAAUUUAUAACCCUGUGCAAUUCAUAAACAUACCACACAUCACUCGAUAAUUCAUACAAUCUAAACUCAACUCAUCAAAAUAAUAACCACAACAUAAAUUCACAAGUGGGGAAGUCUAUGCAGUCACCAAACCAACGAUUACCAUAAGUUCAUAUCAUUACAUGAAUUUAACUUAACAUUCCAAAAUCCUAAACAUGAGGGAUCCUUUAACUUACACAAAAUCCAGAGGUUUAGAUUCAUCGUCAACAUUUCAUUAGAUGCAGAGUGGCUUAUACAACAAAUACAUAUAUGCUAAUAAAGAUCUGCCCAAAAUCUUCUAACUUUCCACUGCCUCAGCCCAAACUUAACAUUUAAGCAAGCGAUA
rnacentral:lncRNA from 1 species